rnacentral:lncRNA from 1 species
GUUUCUUGUGAUGCAAAAGCCAGGACCGGUACGUUUUCUCACAAAAAGGAAAAAAAAACAAAGAGAGCUUCUAUUAAUUUAAAUUGUAGUCCUACUAGUCCAAUACAAAAUCAGCAAUUAGUGCUCUGACAUAAUCCAUCUGGUUUUGUUUCAGAAACUAGCUAGCUAGAAGCCUAGAACCGCCCAGAAAAUAAAGCUCCAAGAUUUCGAGCAAGUAUAGGGGGCUUGGCACUGUUCAAG